UACAGAGGGGGCAAGCGUUGUUCGGAAUUACUGGGCGUAAAGGGCGCGUAGGCGGCCUGUUAAGUCGAACGUGAAAUCCCCGGGCUCAACCCGGGAACUGCGUCCGAUACUGGCAGGCUUGAAUCCGGGAGAGGGAUGCGGAAUUCCAGGUGUAGCGGUGAAAUGCGUAGAUAUCGGAAGGAACAUCAGUGGCGAAAGCGGCUUCCUGGUCCAGCACCGACGUUCAGGCACGAAAGCGUGGGGAGCAAACAGG
rnacentral:rRNA from 1 species